AGAUUGAACGCUGGCGGCGUGCCUAACACAUGCAAGUCGAGCGGUAACAGGUGUAGCAAUACAUGCUGACGAGCGGCGAACGGGUGAGUAAUGCUUUGGAAUCUUCCCAGUAGUGGGGAAUAACCAGUCGAAAGAUUGGCUAAUACCGCAUACGUCUGUAAAGGGAAAGCGGGGGCUCGUAAGACCUCGCGCUAUUGGAUGAGCCAAAGUCGGAUUAGCUAGUUGGUGGGGUAGCGGCCUACCAAGGCGACAAUCCGUAGCUGGUCUGAGAGGACGACCAGCCACACCGGAACUGAGACACGGUCCGGACUCCUACGGGAGGCAGCAGUGGGGAAUAUUGGACAAUGGGGGAAACCCUGAUCCAGCGACGCCGCGUGUGUGAAGAAGGCCUGCGGGUUGUAAAGCACUUUUAGUGGGGACAAAAGCUACGGAUUAAUACUCUGUGGUCUUGAUUUAACCAAAGAAAAGCACCGGCUAACUCUGUGCCAGCAGCCGC
rnacentral:rRNA from 1 species